GACGAACGCUGGCGGCGUGCUUAACACAUGCAAGUCGAACGAUGAAGCUAGAGCUUACUCUGGUGGAUUAGUGGCGAACGGGUGAGUAACACGUGAGUAACCUGCCCCGAACUCUGGGAUAACUGCUGGAAACGGCAGCUAAUACCGGAUAUGACCACUGAAGGCAUCUUCUGUUGGUGGAAAGAAUUUCGGUUCGGGAUGGACUCGCGGCCUAUCAGGUUGUUGGUGAGGUAACGGCUCACCAAGGCGACGACGGGUAGCCGGCCUGAGAGGGCGAUCGGCCACACUGGGACUGAGACUCGGCCCAGACUCCUACGGGAGGCAGCAGUGGGGAAUAUUGCACAAUGGGCGCAAGCCUGAUGCAGCAACGCCGCGUGAGGAACGACGGCCUUCGGGUUGUAAACCUCUUUUAGUAGGGAAGAAGCGAAAGUGACGGUACCUGCAGAAAAAGCACCGGCUAACUACGUGCCAGCCGCCGCCGUAA
rnacentral:rRNA from 1 species